rnacentral:rRNA from 1 species
AUUGAACGCUGGCGGCAUGCCUAACACAUGCAAGUCGAACGAGUGGCGGACGGGUGAGUAAUGUAUGUGAAACCGCCCGAUGGCGGGGGAUACCUACUGGAAACGGUAGCUAAUACCGCAUACCAUCCGAUGAGCCCUGAUGGGAUUGGCUAGUCGGUUGGGUAACGGCUCACCAAGGCGACGAUCACUAGCUGGUCUGAGAGGAUGAACAGCCACACUGGAACGGAGACACGGUCCAGACGCCUACGGGAGGCAGCAGUGGGGAAUAUUGCACAAUGGGCGAAAGCCUGAUGCAGCCAUGCCGCGUGGAUGAAGAAGGCCUUCGGGUUGUAAAGUACUUUCAGCGGGGAGGCGUUACCCGCAGAAGAAGCACCGGCUAACUCCGUGCCAGCAGCCGCGGUAAUUC